rnacentral:rRNA from 1 species
AGCAGCCGCGGUAAUUCCAGCUCCAAUAGCGUAUAUUAAAGUUGUUGCAGUUAAAAAGCUCGUAGUUGAAUUUCGGGAUUGACGUGAUGGUCGUGCCUUAAGGGGUAUGAACUGUCGCAGUUGAUUUCUCACCUUCUGGAGAAGCAUGAUGUCCUUAAUUGGGUGUCAUGUGGAACCAGGACCUUUACCUUGAAAAAAUUUAGAGUGUUUAAAGCAGGCAUUUUGCUCGAAUACAUUAGCAUGGAAUAAUAGAAUAGGACGGCAUGGUUCUAUUUUGUUGGUUUCUAGGAUCACCGUAAUGAUUAAUAGGGAUAGUUGGGGGGCAUUAGUAUUCAAUUGUCAGAGGUGAAAUUCUUGGAUUAUUGGAAGNCUAACUACUGCGAAAGCAUUUGCCAAGGAUGUUUUCAUUAAUCAAGAACGAAAGUUAGGGGAUCGAAGACGAUCAGAUACCGUCGUAGUCUUAACCAUAAACUAUGCCGACUAGGAAUCAGACGAUGUUAAUUUUUUU